rnacentral:misc_RNA from 1 species
AACUUUUAACAAUGGAUCACUUGGUUCUCGCAUCGAUGAAGAGCGCGGCAAAAUGCGAAAACAGAUGAGACACGCAUGCUUCGAGAAACAUCGAGUACUUGAACGCACCUUGCGCCGCCCGGACAUCUGGGCGGCCUGGCUGACUGAGGGUUGUGCAACGCAACGCGUGGGUGUAAGCCCGCAGCGGACAUGAAGACCCGGCGAGCCACGAGCUGCCGGCGAAUCGCAACACAUGGACCGGCAGUUGGGAGUGGGCUGCGACGCGUCGCCAGACACAUGCACACCACGCCCGGCACCGGCAUCCGAGUAUGGGCGGGGGGACGAUGCGUGGAGUGAUCAAGUGGCGUCCAUCGCCGCUCGUCACAGCAUGCAGUCGCCCGCCAGCCACCAUCACCAACCUCAGGUCAGGCAGGAAUACCCGCUGGACUUAAGCAUAUCAAUAAGCGGAGGCU